CUCCGUUAGAAAACUGUCAACAGAUGCACAGGAACUCUGAAAUUGGGCACACAGUUAAAAAAGUCAGCCAGUAGCCGGUGGCCAAACGGAAGGCACAACAAACAGACUGGCGAUCCCACAAAUAUUGAACAAUCGCACAUGACGGAUCGCUCAUCCAUCUGGACCAGGUCAAGGAGGAGGACAAGUAAAAAUUAGUUGGCAAGGCAAACAAACGGCAUCGUUGGUCCCGCCGGACUCUGCCCAGGACUCUGCCCAGGACUCUGCCUAGGACUCGGCAGACACAGCGGCAGUUCAAGGACGACGAAGGUGUCACAACAACGGGGUGCCGUUAGCCGGGGUGGACGGUAGCACAGCAAGUGGCGAGGAGUAGGCUGGGACAUUUAGUACCCGAUUGGGACUCGGUAGUCCCUGGCCCCAGCAAUCGCCAGAUGCUACUGGACCAUUCUAGGAAGUCGCCACCUAUUCAUACGACAGCAUAAUAAUGUGAAAAACUCGUAAGCGUCCCCCUGUUUUCUUACGAGAUUCGAAAGAGGUUUACAAUCUCGACAAGUUUUAUGCAUGUACUACUGGCGACAAAAUUUACAGCCUCCAGUAAAUCACGGUUGUGAAGUGUGGCCCACAUGUGCUCUGCUCUGAUUCAGGGAAAAUGGACCUUGGGAUUUGGCUCUCAGUUUACGGCAUUCAUAAAAGCCCGUCAAUAGUGUGGCAUGGAGCAGACGUCUUCAGGGAUGUGAUACAAUUUUAAAACUCUCUUAUAGAACGUUAAUUGAGGGCUUUGUUGACGAAAUAUUAACU